rnacentral:tRNA from 1 species
GCCCUGAUAGUAUAAAUAUUACCCUGGUCUUGUAAACCAAAAAUGAGGAACUAUCCUCUCAAGGCA